rnacentral:lncRNA from 1 species
UGAAUGGAACAAAAAUCAUAGGCCCUCUUGGUGCAAUCGCCGAGGCCCUAGUACGAAAGUUCAAGUUGAGAUCUCAAAUGCUGUUUCCAGAAGAACGAAUAUGGGGCAUCAAGUCUAACGGAACAUUCUCUGGAUUUCUCGGAAUGGUGCAAAGAGGGGGCAUCGACAUCAUGCUCGGACCUAUGGCACCCACAACAGGAAGAGCUGAGGCUGCCGAUUUUUCGGCUCCUUACGAUGUGAAUUACGUCAGCCUUAUGACUUGGAAGCCGGUGAAGUUCGUCGACCCUUUCAACUUCGUCUUUUCUUUUGAU